ACAUUGAAGUGAUGAUUUCAUAGUUCAGCUGAGAAACUUUGAUGUUAUACUACAACAAUGUCUUUCGCUCCUAUCUGAUUUAAUAU